rnacentral:rRNA from 1 species
CUACGGGCGGCUCCAGUGGGGAAUAUUGCACAAUGGGCGCAAGCCUGAUGCAGCAACGCCGCGUGAGGGAUGAAGGCCUUCGGGUUGUAAACCUCUUUUAGCAGGGAAGAAGCGAAAGUGACGGUACCUGCAGAAAAAGCACCGGCUAACUACGUGCCAGCAGCCGCGGUAAUCCGUAGGGUGCAAGCGUUGUCCGGAAUUAUUGGGCGUAAAGAGCUCGUAGGCGGUUUGUCACGUCUGCUGUGAAAAUCCAAGGCUCAACCUUGGACUUGCAGUGGGUACGGGCAGGCUAGAGUGCGGUAGGGGAGAUGGGAAUUCCCGGUGUAGCGGUGGAAUGCGCAGAUAUCAGGAGGAACACCAAUGGCGAAGGCACAUCUCUGGGCCGUAACUGACGCUGAGGAGCGAAAGCGUGGGGAGCGAACAGGAUUAGAUACCCGUGUAGUC